AUUUACAGAUCAUGAUUCAAUCGGUUUAGAAGACCGGGAUUCUUGUUAUGUUAAUCACUUUGAUCCUUUCUCUUCUCUGACGAAAUAUUCGGCGAAGCAGUGUCGCCUUUUGCCCUAACGUUACAUGUUCCUCCGGUGGUCUCUGCUGUAAGGUGGAGCUAGCUCCAGCCGUAGCUGCUGGUUAUGGUGUUCUUCUUCUUGGAGGCGGCCUCUUAGCAUUAUACUGCUUCUAUACCAUACUGCUAUUGCUAAUGCUCUACCUAUCGAGACCUUAUGAGAGAAGGAGGUUACCAAUCAAGAACUUACGAGAGAAGGAGGUUUAAGAAGAAUGAAGUAAAGAGUGGAGUGGAAGAAACGAGGGAAUAAGCUUGAAGUCUUUUAAAACAAAUAAGCAGAUGACACGUGCUUGUAUAAGAAAGAAGUAUAAAUACUAGUAUUGUUUCUGUUAUACGGUUAUGGUUAUCGAAGAUUACAAUUGUAAAACUUAGCAUAUGAGCUAGGAUCUACUCAGGUGAUGAGAGUAGAGUGAUACUCAGGUGAAAGAGUAUCAAUACAGUUGUAGUUCUCGAGUUGAUUCAUCAAUAUACUAUGUUACUCCAGAGAUCCAAUCUUUGAUCUUAAUAGUAAGCUAACCCCGCCUUCUUCCAAAACUUAUCCCAGGAAGCAUCGGUCUUGCAUGUGAUCGGUUCUUGUUCCAGAUGAGCUUGACCAAGGUUCCUUUACCUCUCAGGUAUUGUAUGAGUACACUUUGGUUUUUGUCCUUGUACUUGAGCCCGAUUAUAUUGACACAACUGUAGACUACAUCACUUAAAAAGAAGCACUUUUAAUUUCCUUAUAAAUAAGCUUGUUAUUAACAGUAUGCGUCUCAUAUAAAGUGGAUUAUGUUUCCAGCGGUUAUUUUUAUUCUUUUUGUUUUUGUAAAUUUGUUUAAAUCCAACGAACAUGAAUUGACUCGGUAGAAAGAAAAGAAUUGAAACUAGUCACUGCUUUAACAUUUUUUAAAAAAACUUGUAUAACCUAUUAUAAAUUUAGAUGAUUAUUAUAAUUUAUAAAAAUACUUUAGAAUAAAAAUAAUAAUUUAUUUUCAUUUGGUAAUAAUUGUAAGAUAAUAAAAUAUAAUCGACUUAUAUUCAUUUUUUAUAAAAAUGUAUUCAAAAUAUGAUUUAUUAUUUAUUAUAUUUUCUAGAUUUUGUAAUCUAAACAAUUUUAGGUUUAGUUUUGUAUAAAAUUGAGAAUCAAAUCGAAUUAGAACCUGAUAGACAAUGUUUUCAUUUCAGUAAAACCUGAUAGGGUGCGUUGAAAUUCACGUAAACCUGUUUUCAUUUCAAUUUUGGACUUUAAACAGCAAAUAGUAAUGGAAUUAACCAAACCGAACCUAUCAAACCAAACCGACCCGAAUACGAUACUUUUCUACCAUAUGAAUAUAUAUGCAAGUUGCAUCAAAAAGCUAUGUAUAGAAAGCCAUAUAAAUAUGAGGGCACUGCGGUAUGUAAAGGUGGAUGAUGUGUUUCAUAUCAAACGUCACCUAUCUGCGGUACAACAGCAUAUAUGGUUGGGUAAGAGUUUAUUUUCAUUGCAGGCCACUUUCCAUCUUUUUAUUACAUUGUAGAUGACAAUGUGCUACUGAGGUAGUUUAGUAUGGUUGAAGACCAAUUUGACCUUUGUAAAGGUAAACCAAGUAUGAGUAAUUAGGUAACUGGACAAAUAAUUUUUAGUUGGGCUAGUUAUAAGAUUUGAAAUUUGAAAAUCCAUGAGUUUAGGUGGUGGACACGUAGGAGAGUUAAAAUUAGUUUUUUUUUACCUUGGGUCCAACAAAAAGUUUAGACUUUAUCCUUUUUUUCAUCGUGGGUAAAAGUAGAUCUAAUUGCACUGGAGAAGGCGGCGAACGAAAUCAGCGACGAAGAAUGUUUAAACUGACGGAGAAGACGAUGUCGUCGAGAAAAAACGAGAAUCAAAGGGGAAAGGAAAAGGUUAGACACUUUUCUCGCUUUACUACUUUCCGGUUGUGGGGUUAGGGUUUCAAUUAAGUUUUCUGAUUCUGGGAUUUAUUAUUUAUGGGUUAGAUUGCCGAGAUUUCUAAGAUGUUUAUGGUGCUUUUUUGGUUUGAUUAACAAAGAUUCAGCAACAAGAGGAGGGAGCAGUAGAUGAAAGGUAUGUAUGAACGCCACUUGCGAUGUUGUACAUGUUAAUAUGAAUGUAUAGUUGUACAAUGUUGUGUGAGGGUAUGUAUGUACAAAGGGGGGUUGAGUGUACAUAAUGACUAGGUUGUAUGUAUGUACAUGGAGAGUUGGGUAUACAUGAGGAUUUAAAUUUUGCGUGUAUUAGAAUCUGACACUAGCCCUAAUUUUCUAUAUUGUUUUUUUGGCAGAGACGACGCCGAUGGAAGUGGUAGACAAGGAAUCACCGCCUGAGGCUCUUUGCAGUGACCUAUUAUGAUAUUAAAAGUUGGAAAGUGACCAUGAGUGUAAUUGUUUCGUUGGGUAAAAUACUAGAGUUAUUAACAUUGCAGGUCACUUUUAAGUUUUUAUUGUCACUCUAUGACACUUAUAGCUACCGAGGUACUUUCGGUGGUUAAUUACACCAAUAACCUCCCAACGGUAGCAAACUGAACUUUGGCUUUA